CAAGGUUAGGUGAACCUGCGAACACGUAUCCAACGUUAAACAACCCUGUGAACUUUCAGACGCUCUUGUAGCCCAGGAGGAGCAAUCCCGGUAAAUCAAUGGUGGAAAAGUUUUGAUUCGGGACCUCUGUCAAAAGGUAUCAAUUCCCUAAGCAGUGUAGAAGGAUCGAUAACGCAUCCCGGUUGCCAGAGGUCGAUCACCGGCCGGCAGACAUGUCACAGGGCUUUACGCCCCUUCAUUCGCCCCUUGCCUAAUCAAGCCCCGCGGAAACGCCGGGCAAAAAAAUCUGAACAACUGUCAACAAUGGAUUUCUUGGUUCUCA
rnacentral:misc_RNA from 1 species